rnacentral:rRNA from 1 species
CCUACGGGAGGCAGCAGUGAGGAAUAUUGGUCAAUGGACGAGAGUCUGAACCAGCCAAGUAGCGUGAAGGAUGACUGCCCUAUGGGUUGUAAACUUCUUUUAUAUGGGAAUAAACUGUUCCACGUGUGGGCUUUUGUAUGUACCAUAUGAAUAAGGAUCGGCUAACUCCGUGCCAGCAGCCGCGGUAAUACGGAGGAUCCGAGCGUUAUCCGGAUUUAUUGGGUUUAAAGGGAGCGUAGGUGGAUUGUUAAGUCAGUUGUGAAAGUUUGCGGCUCAACCGUAAAAUUGCAGUUGAAACUGGCAGUCUUGAGUACAGUAGAGGUGGGCGGAAUUCGUGGUGUAGCGGUGAAAUGCUUAGAUAUCACGAAGAACUCCGAUUGCGAAGGCAGCUCACUGGACUGCAACUGACACUGAGGCUCGAAAGUGUGGGUAUCAAACAGGAUUAGAUACCCUAGUAGUC